AGAGUUUGAUCCUGGCUCAGAUUGAACGCUGAGGCUUAACACUGCAAGUCGAACGGCAGCAUGGGUGCUUGCACCUGAUGGCGAGUGGCGAACGGGUGAGUAAAGCAUCGGAACGUACCGUGAAGUGGGGGAUAACGUAGCGAAAGUUACGCUAAUACCGCAUAUUCUGUGAGCAGGAAAGAGGGGGAUCGCAAGACCUCUUGCUUUACGAGCGGCCGAUGUCGGAUUAGCUAGUUGGUGGGGUAAAGGCCUACCAAGGCGACGAUCCGUAGCGGGUCUGAGAGGAUGAUCCGCCACACUGGGACUGAGACACGGCCCAGACUCCUACGGGAGGCAGCAGUGGGGAAUUUUGGACAAUGGGCGCAAGCCUGAUCCAGCCAUGCCGCGUGAGUGAAGAAGGCCUUCGGGUUGUAAAGCUCUUUCGGCGGGGAAGAAAUGGCACGCUCUAACAUAGUGUGUUGGUGACGGUACCCGCAUAAGAAGCACCGGCUAACUACGUGCCAGCAGCCGCGGUAAUACGUAGGGUGCGAGCGUUAAUCGGAAUUACUGGGCGUAAAGCGUGCGCAGGCGGUUGUGUAAGUCAGAUGUGAAAUCCCUGGGCUCAACCUGGGAACUGCAUUUGAGACUGCACGGCUAGAGUGUGACAGAGGGGGGUAGAAUUCCACGUGUAGCAGUGAAAUGCGUAGAGAUGUGGAGGGAUACCGAUGGCGAAGGCAGCCCCCUGGGUUACUACUGACGCUCAUGCACGAAAGCGUGGGGGAGCAAACAGGAUUAGAUACCCUGGUAGUCCACGCCCUAAACGAUGCCAACUGGAUGUUGGAGGGGUUAAACCCUUUAGUGUCGUAGCUAACGCGUGAAGUUGACCGCCUGGGGAGUACGGCCGCAAGGCUAAAACUCAAAGGAAUUGACGGGGACCCGCACAAGCGGUGGAUGAUGUGGAUUAUUCGAUGCACGCGAAAC
rnacentral:rRNA from 1 species